GAAAUUUUGUUUCUUUUACGAUUAGUUCUUCAUGUUUUUCUUCUAUAUUUGAUUUCUAGAUACGUAUGGUUGAUUUUUUGUCAUCAUUUUUCCUUUUAUCCCUCAAUCGUCAGUUUUCCUUGUAUCCCUUCAUGUGCAAGAGGAGAUGUAUUUGUCUGUUUGACUCCACUCUCACCCUCCGCAUUUUGUUUUUGUUAUUUUUCUUUUAGGCAUGGGACCUCA
rnacentral:misc_RNA from 1 species